UGGGGAAUUUUGCACAAUGGGGGAAACCCUGAUGCAGCGACGCCGCGUGAUUUAGAAGGCCUUCGGGUUGUAAAAAUCUUUUCUAUGGGAAGAAAAUGACAGUACCAUAGGAAUAAGGACCGGCUAAUUACGUGCCAGCAGCCGCGGUAAUACGUAAGGUCCGAGCGUUGUCCGGAAUCAUUGGGCGUAAAGGGUACGUAGGCGGGUAAGCAAGUUAGAAGUGAAAUCCUAUAGCUCAACUAUAGUAAGUUUUUAAAACUGCUCAUCUUGAGGUAUGGAAGGGAAAGUGGAAUUCCUAGUGUAGCGGUGAAAUGCGCAGAUAUUAGGAGGAGUACCGGUGGCGAAGGCGACUUUCUGGCCAUAACCUGACGCUGAGGUACGACAGCGUGGGUAGCAAACAGG
rnacentral:rRNA from 1 species